rnacentral:rRNA from 1 species
CGGAGGAAAAGAAACUAACAAGGAUUCCCCUAGUAGCGGCGAGCGAAGCGGGAAGAGCUCAAAUUUGUAAUCUGGCGCUUUCAGCGUCCGAGUUGUAAUCUCUAGAAAUGUUUUCCGCGUUGCACCGCACACAAGUCUGUUGGAAUACAGCGGCACAGUGGUGAGACCCCCGUUCAUGGUGCGGAUGCGCAAUGCUUUGUGAUACAUUUUCGAAGAGUCGAGUUGUUUGGGAAUGCAGCUCAAAUUGGGUGGUAAAUUCCAUCUAAAGCUAAAUAUUGGCGAGAGACCGAUAGCGAACAAGUACCGUGAGGGAAAGAUGAAAAGCACUUUGGAAAGAGAGUUAACAGUACGUGAAAUUGUUGGAAGGGAAACGCUUGAAGUCAGACUUGCUGUUCGGAGUUCAGCCGCAAGGUGUACUCUCCGAGUUGCAGGCCAGCAUCAGUUUUUCGGGGUGGAAAAUCACGGUUUGAAGGUAGCAGUUUCGGCUGUGUUAUAGCUUUCCGUUGGAUACAUCCUGGGGGACUGAGGAACGCAGUGUGCUUUUAGCAGGGGUUUCGACCUCUUCACACUUAGGAUGCUGGUAGAAUGGCUUUAAACGACCC